GACGUAGGGGGCCAGCGUUGUUCGGAAUUACUGGGUGUAAAGGGUUCGUAGGCGGUGUGGCAAGUCGGGAGUGAAAUCUCUGGGCUCAACCCAGAGGCUGCUUCCGAAACUGCUGUGCUUGAGUGUGGGAGAGGCGCGUGGAAUUGCAGGUGUAGCGGUGAAAUGCGUAGAUAUCUGCAGGAACACCCGUGGCGAAAGCGGCGCACUGGACCACAACUGACGCUGAGGCGCGAAAGCUAGGGGAGCAAACAGG
rnacentral:rRNA from 1 species